CAGAGGAGGAUGAAAGGACUGGUACAUUUAAGAAAAAUGUGUCACGUUCAAAAGUUGGAUGCAAAAGAGACACUGCUUGCAAGGUGAGGGAUGUCCCUGACCAAUAUGGUGCAGAUAUAUUCAAAAGUGGGCGUGCAACUCAGCCAAAAAAUCCUUACUUUGUAGCGAAAAUACGAGCAAAAAGGAGAGAUCAACUGAGAAUUUGAGACGAAACUCAAAAAUUGGAAGGACGGUAGAAUAUGGCUAGCUGGCGGAUGGCGCAGUUUAUGUAGGUGGAACCUUGUGGAAAAAGACAGGUGCAUUUGUGAAUUUGUGAGAGGAAAAGGCAAAAACGGCCUUUACUUGCAAGUUCAUGUUCUCCAUGAAGGAUCAGUUUCCGAAUAGUGAACUUGUAACAAGUAGUGUUGUUUGUUGACAAAUAUUGAAGGCUUAUCUAGUUUGUAAAAUAGCUCUGACA